UACGAAGGGUGCAAGCGUUACUCGGAAUUACUGGGCGUAAAGCGUGCGCAGGCGGUUAUGCAAGACAGAUGUGAAAUCCCCGGGCUCAACCUGGGAACUGCAUUUGUGACUGCAUGGCUAGAGUACGGUAGAGGGGGAUGGAAUUCCGCGUGUAGCAGUGAAAUGCGUAGAGAUGCGGAGGAACACCGAUGGCGAAGGCAGCCCCCUGGGCCAACACUGACGCUCAGGCACGAAAGCGUGGGGAGCAAACAGG
rnacentral:rRNA from 1 species